AUUGAACUCUGGCGGCAGGCCUAACACAUGCAAGUCGAACGAGUGGCGGACGGGUGAGUAAUGUCUGGGAAACUGCCCGAUGGAGGGGGAUAACUACUGGAAACGGUAGCUAAUACCGCAUACCAUCUGAUGUUCCCAGAUGGGAUUAGCUAGUGGGUGGGGUAACGGCUCACCUAGGCGACGAUCCCUAGCUGGUCUGAGAGGAUGACCAGCUACACUGGAACUGGGACACGGACCAGACUCCUACGGGAGGCAGCAGUGGGGAAUAUUGCACAAUGGGCGAAAGCCUGAUGCAGCAAUGCCGCGUGUAGGAAGAAGGCCUUCGGGUUGUAAAGUACUUUCAGCGAGGAGGCGUUACUCGCAGAAGAAGCACCGGCUAACUCCGUGCCAGCAGCCGCGGUAAUUC
rnacentral:rRNA from 1 species